AGCAAGUGUACAUUUUUGCAUAGCUUACGUGUAAUGUUUGACCAUCCGUCUUAUUUAAAAGUUUUAUAAUUAUUAUUUUUAUUAUUAUUAGAUGAUAAAAAAUAAAUAAUACUUUAUGUGUAACUAUCUUUUUGAUUUUAACAUAAAUUCUUAAAUAAGAGAAAUUAUCAAACAUUGGAUAUGAAAAUCCAAAAAUGUAGUUAAU
rnacentral:pre_miRNA from 1 species